UGUUCUUUAUUCGAACAGGCAUGCCCAACAUAGACUGCCAACCUCUAUGCAAAGCUAUAGGCUACUUUACAACGUUCAGUAGGAAUGAUGUAUAGAAAAUAUCAACAUACAACCCUCACCUUGGAAAUGCACCUGCAAAAGAACAGUAUUCCCAUAGCAGAUUUUGAAUGGGCUAAUUCAUUCACUGUAGGGUGGCCGACCUGCUUGUGUGUGGUUCCUGAAGAUGCGCCCUAUUGAAGUCCGCUGCCGCUGUCAUCUGUUUUUCCUCUCUCUCGGUCUCUUGUUUUUUUCAUAUGUGGGAGGCUUCUCCCCACUGUGAGCUUGUUGUAAGUCUUAGUUGUUGCUUUAUUUAAAGAUUUUUUUUUUCUUUUACCCAGACCCAGACCUGGGAUGCAUAUUAAAACGUAUCUCUAGUCUAUGCAUACCUCUUUUUAAAAUUAUCUUGGCGUUUGUUCGCCCCAGUUUCACAGGUUCACUUUCAUUUAUUUUUAUUAUUAUUAUUUUGGUUCAUUUUAUUAAGUGUGGAUUUUAAUUAUUAUUUUUAGGAUAAUUCCUAUGUGUGCAUUUUGGAUUCAAGUGGAUUAUUGUAUGCAUAUUAGGUAUUUAAGUAGUAUGGUGUUUUCACAAAGUUAUGAUUUAUUUAUGUUUGUAGUCAUUUUGUGUGUUAUAGUUUACCCUGUGGGUUGAGCAGAGCUGCAUCUCCAGCCACCCACCCUUUCCUGUUCGAGCUGAAAUAAAGCCUGGGUUUUAACUGUU